rnacentral:rRNA from 1 species
GUAGGUGGCGAGCGUUGUUCGGAAUCACUGGGCAUAAAGCGCGCGUAGGCGGCGGAGUAAGUCGGGUGUGAAAUCCCUCGGCUCAACCGAGGAACUGCGCCCGAUACUGCUUUGCUUGAGGGCCGGAGGGGAGAGUGGAAUUCCCGGUGGAGCGGUGAAAUGCGUAGAGAUCGGGAAGAACGCCGGCGGCGAAGGCGACUACCUGGCCUGUUCUUGACGCUGAGGCGCGAAAGCUAGGGGAGCAAACGGGAUUAGAUACCCCGGUAGUCCUAGCCGUAAACGAUGGACACUAGGUGUUGGUGGUAUCAACCCCGCCGGUGCCGAAGCUAACGCAUUAAGUGUCCCGCCUGGGGAGUACGGCCGCAAGGCUA